rnacentral:rRNA from 1 species
UCGAGAAUCUUUCGCAAUGGGCGCAAGCCUGACGAAGCGACGCCGUGUGAGCGAAGAAGGCCUUCGGGUUGUAAAGCUCUUUCGCCAGGGAACAAGAGAGAUGGGAUAAUACCCCGUUGAUUUGAUGGUACUUGGUAAAGAAGCACCGGCUAACUCCGUGCCAGCAGCUGCGGUAAUACGGAGGGUGCAAGCAUUGAUCGGAAUUACUGGGCGUAAAGGGCGCGUAGGCGGUAGGAUAAGUCGGAUGUG